rnacentral:rRNA from 1 species
AUUGAACGCUGGCGGCAGGCCUAACACAUGCAAGUCGAACGGUAACAGGAAGAAGCUUGCUUCUUUGCUGACGAGUGGCGGACGGGUGAGUAAUGUCUGGGAAACUGCCUGAUGGAGGGGGAUAACUACUGGAAACGGUAGCUAAUACCGCAUAACGUCGCAAGACCAAAAAGGGGGACCUUCGGGCCUCUUGCCAUCGGAUGUGCCCAGAUGGGAUUAGCUAGUAGGUGGGGUAACGGCUCACCUAGGCGACGAUCCCUAGCUGGUCUGAGAGGAUGACCAGCCACACUGGAACUGAGACACGGUCCAGACUCCUACGGGAGGCAGCAGUGGGGAAUAUUGCACAAUGGGCGCAAGCCUGAUGCAGCCAUGCCGCGUGUAUGAAGAAGGCCUUCGGGUUGUAAAGUACUUUCAGCGGGGAGGAAGGGAGUAAAGUUAACACCUUUGCUCAUUGACGUUACCCGCAGAAGAAGCACCGGCUAACUCCGUG